UAGGGAAUCUUCGGCAAUGGACGAAAGUCUGACCGAGCAACGCCGCGUGAGUGAAGAAGGUUUUCGGAUCGUAAAACUCUGUUGUUAGAGAAGAACAAGGACGUUAGUAACUGAACGUCCCCUGACGGUAUCUAACCAGAAAGCCACGGCUAACUACGUGCCAGCAGCCGCGGUAAUACGAAGGUGGCAAGCGUUGUCCGGAUUUAUUGGGCGUAAAGCGAGCGCAGGCGGUUUCUUAAGUCUGAUGUGAAAGCCCCCGGCUCAACCGGGGAGGGUCAUUGGAAACUGGGAGACUUGAGUGCAGAAGAGGAGAGUGGAAUUCCAUGUGUAGCGGUGAAAUGCGUAGAUAUAUGGAGGAACACCAGUGGCGAAGGCGGCUCUCUGGUCUGUAACUGACGCUGAGGCUCGAAAGCGUGGGGAGCAAACAGG
rnacentral:rRNA from 2 species